rnacentral:rRNA from 1 species
CAGCCGCCGCGGUAAUACGUAGGGUGCAGGCGUUAAUCGGAAUUACUGGGCGUAAAGCGUGCGUAGGCGGUUUGUUAAGUCUGCUGUGAAAUCCCCGGGCUCAACCUGGGAAUGGCAGUGGAUACUGGCAAGCUAGAGUGUGUCAGAGGAUGGUGGAAUUCCCGGUGUAGCGGUGAAAUGCGUAGAGAUCGGGAGGAACAUCAGUGGCGAAGGCGGCCAUCUGGGACAACACUGGCGCUGAGGCACGAAAGCGUGGGGAGCAAACAGGAUUAGAUACCCGUGUAGUCCCUGUCUCUUAUAC